rnacentral:rRNA from 1 species
UACGUAGGGGGCAAGCGUUGUCCGGAAUUAUUGGGCGUAAAGCGCGCGCAGGCGGUGAGUUAAGUCUGGUGUAUAAACUUAAGGCUCAACCUUAAGGUGCAUUGGAAACUGGCUGACUGGAGUGUAGGAGAGGGAAGUGGAAUUCCACGUGUAGCGGUGAAAUGCGUAGAGAUGUGGAGGAACACCAGUGGCGAAGGCGACUUCCUGGCCUAUAACUGACGCUGAGGCGCGAAAGCGUGGGGAGCAAACAGG